rnacentral:lncRNA from 1 species
UCAGGCAUGGUGAUUCCACCAGAGGUUCUUUUAUCCUUGAGAAGACUUUUUGCUAUCCUAGGUUUUUUUCCCCCCUUUCCCCUUUCCCCCCUUUCCCCCUUUCCCCUUUCCACCUUUCCACCUUUCCACCUUUCCACCUUUCCACCUUUCCACCUUCCUCCUUUCUUUAGGGGGAAAGAAAGAUGUGAUGUGUGCCAAGGAGGAAGGUGAAAAGGUGGAGGGGGAAAGAGGGAAGGAAGAAAGGUGAAAGGGGGAAGAAAGAAAGGGGAAAGGAAGGAGGAAAGGUGGAAAGGUGGAAAGGUGGAAAGGUGGAAAGGUGGAAAGGUGGAAAGGAGGAAAGGGGAAAGGCGGGAGGGGGAAAGGUUUUUCCUCCUUUUCCCCUUGCCCCCUUUUCCCUUUCCC